ensembl:ribozyme RNaseP_nuc Nuclear RNase P
GGCGGGGGAAGCUCAUCAGCGGGGCCACGCGCUGAGUGCUUGUCACUCCAUCGGCCCCUGGGAAGGUCUGAGACUGGGGCCUCCCGCGGCCCUAACCGGGCUCUCCCCGAGUGGGGAGGUGAGUUCCCAGAGAGCAGGGCUCCACGCGUGGGCAGACUGGGCAGGAGAAGCCCCCGGGUGGGCGGAUGCCUCCCUCGCCGGGGCUUGGAACAGACUCACGGCCAGCAGUUCGAGAACUUAGGCAUCCAAAAGUGUAGCUCCUAGUUUCAGGUGUAGCUGUACCCAGGACUCAAAACCAUCCAGGGACACGGCUGGACCUGUUCUUUCCUUACUCACCCGGGCAUCUGAAUUCCUGUGUCGUUUUCGGUGAGCACAAGGUUUCCCUGGUUAUCAAGCUAUCCCAACAUUCAGUGCUUUCUUUUCCUGCU